rnacentral:rRNA from 1 species
UACAGAGGUGCCAAGCGUUAGGCGGAAUCACUGGGCUUAAAGCGCGUGUAGGCGGGUCGUUAAGUGUCUUGUGAAAUCCCACGGCUCAACCGUGGAACUGCUGGGCAUACUGACGAUCUUGAGGCACUCAGGGGCUGUCGGAACAAAUGGUGGAGCGGUGAAAUGCGUAGAUAUCAUUUGGAACGCCAACGGUGAAAACAGACAGCUGGGGGUGUCCUGACGCUGAGACGCGAAAGCCAGGGGAGCGAACGGG